UUUACAAAAACGCUAUUUUUUAAGCUUUUUGCUCAACAUGUUGUAUUUUUGAAGAGAAAUAUCCAUAUUUCAGUGGUUAAAUUAAGUGGAAAAAGUAAAUAUAUAAUGAAAAGUUUUUUCCCCAUUUUGUUUGUUUGUUUGUUUGUUUAUUGUUUGUUUGAAAGCAGAGGGUGUGUUCUUUAAUUUGAUAUAAUUUGUAUGUUUAUAUAUUUAUAGAAGAUAAUUUUUCCUGCAAGGAAUUUUGUGAAACUUUUGUUAAAAUCCGAAAAAUGCAGGUGGGCAACUUUUCUCAAAAAGGCUGGCGGUGAAUGAGUAAAUGAAUAGUCUAACGAUUUAUAAUCGUUGUACUCUAUUGUUAUAUGUCUUUUUGACUGAAUACAUGUUUGUUUUAUUUGUCUAUAUCCUAGAUUCGCAGCUGGACACAUCCUUCUACACUGUAUGUAAACAUGCAACAUCAUUACACACAGUACAAGGAGUCAGACUGGCAUAUGAGGAGCAAAGGAACCUAGGCAGUAGCAUCGUUUCACAAUGUUUCCAUCACCAUCAUCUGUGGAUGCCUUUGCCGUCCGUAGCCUGAGAUUUCAGAUUUGCAGCAAAAAAAAUUAUUUUCUCAUUUAUUGGAAUGCUGUGCAGGUAUUUAAGUAUUUUAGUAACUGUGUUAAAUAAAGUAGUAUUUACUUUUACAAUAAAUUUAUUGCUUGUUUAUGUUUUUACAGGUUGUACCUUGCAGCUGCCAGCCAUCCAUUACAAUGUCACCAAGCUGUAACAAAAUCAGGAGAGGGAAAGUACAAGGCUAUGUUCCCAAAACACACAAGUGACAUACCUUAUGUGGAUGAUGUGAUCAGGCUUGUGUUUGAUAAGAUAUUUGAAGAUAAGCUGAAGGAAACCCCGAUUCCAAUGGACCUGGCAUCACAGUUUGAGAGACCUUCAAAGGAGGACGUGAUUGCAUGCCAUCUUCAGUGCAGGGGUCGUCGAAAGCAAACAUUGUGACUGAUCUGAUCAGGAAGCUCCAAGCAUAUCUGGAGAACAACACACGACAGGAUGAUAACCUUAUAGUGUCGUCUUAAAUAGCACCAGCUGACAAAGCUUUGAUAUGCCAUUUAUCUGAAUAGAUACCCUUGUGAAAAAAAAGUGUGCUUAAGUGUACUUUUAUAAACAUAAAAAGUAAAUAAUACACUUUAAGUAUAUACACUUAAGUGUGAAUUAAAUGCAAUCUUUUCGGCGCACUGAAUGCACAUUAAGUGUAAUUAAUUUCACAUAUAUCAUAUAUUAAGUUGAAAUAAAAUGUAACAAGUUGCCAUUAAGAGUGAUUUUUUGGAACAACUUAAUUGAUACUUUAUUACAACUUUAUAUCUACUUUCAUAAUUGCUUUUAGUGUUUUUAAAAUAUACUUAAAGUGCACUACACAAUAUAAUAACAUGAAAUUAAUGUGAUUUAAAAUGCAAUUUAAUGUCUGUUAACAAUACUCUUAAGUGUGAAUUGAAUGCAAUGGUUUCAGCGCACUGAAUGCACAUUAAAUGCAAUUAAUUUCAAAUAUAUCAUAUAUUAAGUUGAAAUAAAAUGUAAUAAGUUGCCAUUAAGAGUGAUUUUUUGGAACAACUUAAUUGGUACUUUAUUACAACUUUAUAUCUACUUUCAUAAUUGCUGUAGCAUCGGGUCAAUAUUGAGAAGGCCAGAACUGAUGGUUAAAUUAAUUUUAUUGCUCUCCGUGUCAUCAACCAAUGUAAGAGCUGAGUAAAACAAAUAAACCAUGCAUUACAUACAUUUCAACCGUAACACAGCUCCUUACAUUAGUUUCAAUCCGUAAACAUUAAGUUAAAUUAUAAAUUUCACAAUAACAUUCAUCAAGUAGUUUGAAUAUAUGUUUUAUUAACUUUACAAACCUUGUUCCCCAAUUGACCGAAGCUAAAACCUUGUAGAUUAUCCGUGCUUUUUACCAUUUUAAACGUGAACCUUUCAGACUUUCUUUCGUCUUUUUUCCGCCGUUCUUCCAAACUGAAUUACGUCACUACACAUCCGG